rnacentral:rRNA from 1 species
UACAGAGGUCUCAAGCGUUGUUCGGAUUCAUUGGGCGUAAAGGGUGCGUAGGUGGCGCCGUAAGUGGGGUGUGAAAUCUCGGGGCUUAACUCCGAAACUGCAUUCGAUACUGCCGUGCUUGAGGACUGGAGAGGAGACUGGAAUUUACGGUGUAGCGGUGAAAUGCGUAGAUAUCGUAAGGAAGACCAGUGGCGAAGGCGGGUCUCUGGACAGUUCCUGACGCUGAAGCACGAAGGCCAGGGGAGCAAACGGG